rnacentral:misc_RNA from 1 species
AAAAAAAAAAAAAAUUCAUGGCCUCCUUAAAUAGCCUGCCUUGUUCACGUCCAACUUGGUUUCAAAGUGCAACAACAAGCAAGCCCUUCAAAUCAAAACCAUACAUACAGCUUCCUCUCCCUCCUUACCUAUCUCUGCCUCUCUAAGCAACAUUUUUCACAACAAUCUUCAAGAGAAGCUUGCUAGCUAGCUCCUCCAUUGAUAUUAGAGGAUCAUACAAAGAGAAACCAGCUUGUCUAAAGAGUUCUUCUUACUGAAACGGAUCACAAAAGCCGAGAAAUGGCUGGAAAUGAUUGGAUAAAUGGGUACUUGGAAGCUAUUUUAGAUGUGGGAAGCAGUCUAAGGAAAAGAAAUGAUGGAAAGUUGAAGAUUGCUAGGUUUGAAGAGAGCAAGGAAAAGGAAGACAAGUCUUUUAGUCCUACUAAGUACUUUGUGGAAGAAGUUAUUAAUAGCUUUGAUGAGUCUGAUCUCCACAGGACAUGGGUCAAGGUGAUAGCAACAAGGAAUACUCGUGAACGCAGCAACAGGCUUGAGAAUAUGUGCUGGAGAAUUUGGCAUCUUGCCCGUAAAAAGAAAAAGAUAGCAUGGGAUGAUGCACAAAGACUUGCUAGAAGACGGCUGGAGCGAGAGCAAGGGCGUAAUGAUGCUGCAGAUGAUCUUUCUGAACUAUCUGAGGGGGAGAAGGAAAAGGGUGAUAGCAACCCUUCAGAACCUGUCAGGGACUUCACCAGAAUUAACUCAGAGAUGCAAAUAUGGUCUGAUGAAGAGAAGCCUAGGCGCCUAUACAUUGUGCUAAUCAGUAUACAUGGUCUGGUGCGUGGAGAAAAUAUGGAACUUGGAAGGGAUUCCGAUACUGGGGGUCAGGUAAAAUAUGUUGUUGAACUUGCUCGAGCUCUUGCCAAUACAAAAGGAGUCUAUCGUGUCGAUCUCUUGACCAGACAAAUCAGCUCCCCUGAUGUAGACUCCAGCUAUGGUGAGCCCAUUGAGAUGCUGUCAUGCCCACCUGAUGGCAGUGGAAGUUGUGGAGCCUACAUAGUCCGCAUUCCUUGUGGUCCCCGCGACAAGUACAUACCAAAAGAAUCACUCUGGCCUUACAUACCUGAAUUUGUAGAUGGAGCCUUAAGCCAUAUUGUCAACAUGGCUAGAGCCCUAGGGGAACAAGUUAAUGGGGGAAAGCCUACUUGGCCAUAUGUAAUUCAUGGUCACUAUGCUGAUGCUGGGGAGGUGGCAUCGCAUCUGUCCGGAGCCUUGAAUGUGCCAAUGGUGCUAACCGGACACUCUCUGGGGAGGAACAAGUUUGAGCAAUUGCUUAAGCAAGGAAGGCUUUCUAGGGAAGACAUAAAUGCAACCUACAAGAUAAUGAGGAGGAUUGAAGCAGAAGAGUUGGGGUUGGAUGCUUCUGAGAUGGUGGUAACCAGCACAAAGCAAGAGAUUGAAGAGCAAUGGGGCUUGUAUGAUGGGUUUGAUCUCAAGUUGGAAAGAAAGCUUAGGGUUAGAAGACGCCGAGGAGUAAGUUGCCUGGGAAGAAAUAUGCCGAGGAUGGUGGUUAUACCUCCAGGCAUGGACUUCAGCUACGUAACAAAACAAGAUUCAUUGGAAGGUGAUCUCAAGUCAUUAAUUGGCUCUGACAGAACUCAAACUAAGAGGAAUCUGCCUCCAAUAUGGUCUGAGGUAAUGCGUUUUUUCACAAAUCCUCAUAAACCUACAAUACUUGCAUUGUCCCGUCCUGACCCAAAGAAAAAUGUCACCACAUUGCUCAAGGCUUUUGGGGAGUGCCAGCGCCUCCGAGAGCUAGCCAAUCUGACUCUAAUACUUGGUAACAGAGAUGACAUUGAAGAGAUGUCUAACAGUAGCUCAGUUGUUCUUACAACUGUGCUCAAGCUCAUUGACAAGUAUGAUUUGUAUGGUCAAGUUGCUUACCCCAAGCAUCACAAGCAAUCUGAAGUUCCUGACAUUUAUCGUCUGGCUGCAAAAACAAAGGGAGUUUUCAUCAAUCCAGCUCUGGUGGAACCAUUUGGUCUCACACUUAUAGAGGCAGCUGCAUAUGGUUUACCUGUCGUUGCUACAAAAAAUGGUGGACCAGUGGACAUUUUGAAGGCUCUUAACAAUGGCCUACUAGUGGACCCUCAUGAUCAAAAAGCAAUAGCAGAUGCACUUCUGAAGCUUGUUGCUGACAAAAACCUCUGGACUGAAUGCCGAAAAAAUGGUUUAAAAAACAUUCACCGCUUUUCUUGGCCAGAACAUUGCCGUAACUAUCUCUCCCAUGUUGAACACUGCAGGAACCGCCACCCAACAAGCCGUCUUGAGAUCACACCAAUUCCUGAAGAGCCAAUGAGCGACUCUCUAAAGGAUGUGGAGGACCUAUCUUUAAGAUUCUCCAUUGAAGGAGAUCCCAAGCUUAAUGGAGAGCUAGAUGCAGCAACUAGACAGAAGAAACUAAUUGAAGCCAUUACCCAUGCUGCUUCAUCCAAUGGUAAUGCAAGUGUUACUUAUAGUCCUGGCAGAAGGCAGAUGCUAUUUGUGAUAGCUGCUGAUUGUUAUGACUGUAAUGGGAAAAGCACAGUGAACUUCCAAGAAAUUAUCAAGAAUGUGAUGAAAGCUGCUGGAUUAUGCCUAGGGUUGGGCAGGAUAGGCUUUGUACUGUUGACUGGCUCAAGUUUACGGGAGACAAUGGAAGCUUUAAAAUCUUGCCCAGUGAAUAUAGAAGACUUUGAUGCAAUAAUAUGUAAUAGUGGAAGUGAGAUGUACUAUCCAUGGAGAGACAUGGUGGCUGAUUUGGACUAUGAAGCCCAUGUAGGGUACAGGUGGCCUGGUGAGAAUGUUAGGUCUAUGGCAAUUAGGCUAGCUAAGUUAGAAGAUGGGGCUGAAGAUGAUGUCCUCGAGUAUGUUCAGACAAGUGGUUCAAGGAGCUAUUCUUAUAUCAUCAAACCAGGAGCCAAGACUCGAAAGGUUGAUGAAAUCCGGCAAAGGCUUCGAAUGAGAGGCUUUCGAUGCAACCUUGUCUACACACGUGCAGCAUCAAGGUUAAAUGUGAUCCCAUUAUUCGCAUCAAGGAAACAAGCCCUAAGGUAUCUAUCAGUUAAGUGGGGAAUUGAUCUUUCCAAAAUAUUUGUCUUUGUUGGGGAAAAAGGGGACACAGAUUAUGAAGAACUACUGGCCGGCCUCCAUAAGACCAUUAUUAUGAGAGGCUCCGUGGGGUAUGGAAGUGAGAAGCUUCUUCGCAGUCAAGACAGCUUUAAAAGAGAAGAUAUUGUCCCCCAAGAAAGCCCUAGCCUAGGCUUUGUGGAGGAGAAUUAUGAAGUUCAUGACCUCUCAGCAGCUUUAGAGGCUCUAGGGAUCAAGUGAUCUUUAUUCAUAAAUAACCUUUUCUUUUUGUAACAGUUAUCUAUGCAUAUACUUUUACAGGUAAUGCAAAAGCAAAAAUACAUUUACUAUUGUAUAUCUCUUGCUAAAUUUCAAUUACGAUGUACAUCUCUACCUAAAUUUUAGUUACAUGAAAAAUAUAACCUUGUAGGAAAUCAUACUCCCCCAAGAAAGCCCUAGCCUAGGCUUUGUGGAGGAGAAUUAUGAAGUUCAUGACCUCUCAGCAGCUUUAGAGGCUCUAGGGAUCAAGUGAUCUUUAUUCAUAAAUAACCUUUUCUUUUUGUAACAGUUAUCUAUGCAUAUACUUUUACAGGUAAUGCAAAAGCAAAAAUACAUUUACUAUUGUAUAUCUCUUGCUAAAUUUCAAUUACGAUGUACAUCUCUACCUAAAUUUUAGUUACAUGAAAAAUAUAACCUUGUAGGAAAUCAUAC